AAAUUGAAGAGUUUGAUCAUGGCUCAGAUUGAACGCUGGCGGCAGGCCUAACACAUGCAAGUCGAACGGUAACAGGAAGCAGCUUGCUGCUUCGCUGACGAGUGGCGGACGGGUGAGUAAUGUCUGGGAAACUGCCUGAUGGAGGGGGAUAACUACUGGAAACGGUGGCUAAUACCGCAUAACGUCGCAAGACCAAAGAGGGGGACCUUCGGGCCUCUUGCCAUCAGAUGUGCCCAGAUGGGAUUAGCUUGUUGGUGAGGUAACGGCUCACCAAGGCGACGAUCCCUAGCUGGUCUGAGAGGAUGACCAGCCACACUGGAACUGAGACACGGUCCAGACUCCUACGGGAGGCAGCAGUGGGGAAUAUUGCACAAUGGGCGCAAGCCUGAUGCAGCCAUGCCGCGU
rnacentral:rRNA from 2 species